rnacentral:lncRNA from 13 species
GCUCUUGUUCCAGGAUAUUCUGUAAAAGAUUUUACUUCACUUGGAUAGCAACCAAGCCAACCAUAUGGAAAGAAAACUAACCUGCUCAGUGUGAAGUGGACUUUUGGUCAUCUGGCAAAGAAAUACUUUUGGCGUGAGUUAUCCACUGAUCUGUCCAACUGGGGAAUGCCCUGCUCUUCUGGCAUAGCUACUACUCUAGGAAUUACUACCCUCGGGCCUGAGCAUCUCAAAUAUGUGGUCUUUGGUAGUUUGAGGGUGUGAGACAGGUAAG